AGGAUGAACGCUGGCGGCGUGCUUAACACAUGCAAGUCGAACGAUGAAGGCUGGAGCUUGCUCUGGCUGGAUUAGUGGCGAACGGGUGAGUAACACGUGAGUAACCUGCCCCAGACUCUGGGAUAAGCGCUGGAAACGGCGUCUAAUACCGGAUACGAGCUUCCACCGCAUGGUGAGGAGCUGGAAAGAAUUUCGGUCUGGGAUGGACUCGCGGCCUAUCAGCUUGUUGGUGAGGUAAUGGCUCACCAAGGCGACGACGGGUAGCCGGCCUCGAGAGGGUGACCGGCCACACUGGGACUGAGACACGGCCCAGACUCCUACGGGAGCAGCAGUGGGGAAUAGUUGCACAAUGGGCGCAAGCCUGAUGCAGCAACGCCGCGUGAGGACGAAGGCCUUGGUGAACUCGUUUAGUAGGAAGAGCGAGUGUUAUCACUUCGAUGACGUACUGACAGAAAA
rnacentral:rRNA from 1 species